GGCAGGCCUAACACAUGCAAGUCGAGGGGUAACAGGGAGCUUGCUCCGCUGACGACCGGCGCACGGGUGCGCAACGCGUAUACAAUCUGCCUUAUGCUGAGGGAUAGCCCAGAGAAAUUUGGAUUAAUACCUCAUGGUAUCGAGAGACGGCAUCGUUUUUUGAUUAAAGGUCACGGCAUAAGAUGAGUAUGCGUCCCAUUAGCUAGUUGGUGUGGUAACGGCACACCAAGGCAACGAUGGGUAGGGGUCCUGAGAGGGAGAUCCCCCACACUGGUACUGAGACACGGACCAGACUCCUACGGGAGGCAGCAGUGAGGAAUAUUGGACAAUGGGCGGAAGCCUGAUCCAGCCAUGCCGCGUGCAGGAAGACGGUCCUAUGGAUUGUAAACUGCUUUUAUACGGGAAGAAUAAGGGCUACGUGUAGCCUGGUGACGGUACCGUAAGAAUAAGGAUCGGCUAACUCCGUGCCAGCAGCCGCGGUAAUACGGAGGAUCCAAGCGUUAUCCGGAAUCAUUGGGUUUAAAGGGUCCGUAGGCGGACUAUUAAGUCAGGGGUGAAAGUCUGCAGCUCAACUGUAGAAUUGCCCUUGAUACUGGUAGUCUUGAGUUAUGGUGAAGUGGCUAGAAUAUGUAGUGUAGCGGUGAAAUGCAUAGAUAUUACAUAGAAUACCGAUUGCGAAGGCAGGUCACUAACCAUAUACUGACGCUGAUGGACGAAAGCGUGGGGAGCGAACAGGAUUAGAUACCCUGGUAGUCCACGCCGUAAACGAUGGAUACUAGCUGUUCGGACUUCGGUCUGAGCGGCCAAGCGAAAGUGAUAA
rnacentral:rRNA from 1 species